GAUGAACGCUGGCGGCGUGCCUAAUACAUGCAAGUCGAGCGAACAGACGAGGCGCUUGCUCCUCUGACGUUAGCGGCGGACGGGUGAGUAACACGUGGAUAACCUACCUAUACGACUGGGAUAACUUCGGGAAACCGGAGCUACUACCGGAUAAUAUAUUUAACCGCAUGGUUCAAUAGUGAAAGACGGUUUUGCUGUCACUUAUAGAUGGCUCCGCGCCGCAUUAGCUAGUUGGUAAGGUAACGGCUUACCAAGGCGACGAUGCGUAGCCGACCUGCGAGGGUGUACGGCCACACUGGGACUGAGACGCGGUCCAGACUCCUACGGGAGGCAGCAGUAGGGAAUCUACCGCAAUGGGCGAAAGCCUGACGGAGCAACGCCGCGUGAGUGAUGAAGGGCUUCGGAUCGUAAAACUCUGUUAUUAGGGAAGAACAAAUGUGUAAGUAACGAUGCACGUCUUGACGGUACCUAAUCAGAAAGCCACGGCUAACUACGUG
rnacentral:rRNA from 1 species